CAGAACCAUUACCUUUAUUUCCCAGGUGCCUGUCGAACAAGGCUGAUAGAAUGUGUGCAGAUUUCAAAGUGCUUCCACUAUAUUUAGUGAAAAUGAGCAGCAAAGUAUUUAAACACUCAAACUUGAGGUGGGCAAUGGGGAACCUCCUCCAAAAGAAUCCGAUCCAGGUCAGUUAAAAGAAGAUUCAGUGCCCGUCUUUGCCUCAACAGGAGCAUCACUGUGGAACCAGGUUGUUACUGGUUUUCAUUUUCUGAAAUAAAAGUUCUCAUUUUAAAAAUAAAAUGGAUACAAAAUAGAUACUCCAUUAGGCAAUGACACGAGAUGAAUAAAUACGGGAAAAUAAAUAAUGUUUAAAAUUUAAAUACAUUUUUAAUUAAUAUGUUUUAACUUAGGGGAGUUCUUUAGCGGUUCAGUGGUUACAGCUCCAUGCUUUCACCGCUACAGCUCAAGUUCAAGACCUGGCUAGGAACUGAGAUCCCAUAUCAAGCUGCUGCCCACCAUGGCCAAAACAAACAAACAAACAAAAAAAUGUUUUGGAGUUCCUGUAGUAGUGCAGUGAUAACGAACCCAACUAGCAUCCAUGAGGAUGCAGGUUGGAUCCCUGGCCUCACUCAGUGGGUUAAGGAUCUGGCGUUGCCGUGAGCUGUGGUGUAGGUCACAGACGCUACUUGGUACUACAUUGCUGUGGUGUGGUGUAGGACAGCAGCUGCAGCUCCAAUUCAACCCCUAGCCUGGGAACUUCCAUAUGCAGUGGGUGUGGCCCUAAAAAAAAAAAAAAAGACAAAAAAGGUUUUAAUUUGAAAAUAAUGUAAUUAUUUAUAAUAUAAUUAUACAUUUAUAAAUAGGUAAUCUGAAAAAGCCUUCCAAUUAUAUUCUGCAAAAUGUAUCAGAUUUCUUCUCAAAAGUUUAUCUGAAAUCUUCGAGGGCCAAAAUGAAUUGCUGAGGAAGUAAGUCUUAAACUGUGGCUCAGAGACCUGCACCAUGGGGGGCAGGGAAAAAAAGAGAGAAGCUUCCUUACUGUCCAUCAGUCUCGGGACAGAAGGGCGGUGCAGGCACAGGUGGUUGCCCUGCUCUUCUGGAACGUCUCUGACUUCUGCCUGGGUUUCACCUUCUCAGUCCUCCAGGACUAUCAUCAAUGUCUCUGAAAUAAGCCUCAGUGGGAGUCAGCAAAGAACUGUCUAUCAAAGCCCUCGGGAAAUUUCUCCUGCGUUUCCUUGUUGGACCACCUUCAAUUAGAGUCAUCUGAAGAACCACCUUGUAGGGAACGAGGACCUGGAGGCUGGACGUGACGAAACACAACCAGCACUUGAGACAUAUGAUGCCCUAGAACCACGUGCUCAGAAACGGGGGCAACGUAAAGGUUCUCGUGAACAUUAAGCAUACGGUGGAUACAACACCCCUAAGGGUCUGGUGGGCCGGAUACCACUAUGUCAAGUCCCAUCACACCUGUGCUCUUCUCUGCCAGUGGCUCAGGACUGAAACACCCAGAUCACAGACCUGCAGGAUGGCGAGGACACCCUGCAUGCAGACAGUGGAGAACAGCGGAAUGGGCAAUAAAGCCAAGGAACCGUGGUUCCCAAGUCACUCCCUAACAGGAUGCUCUGGAAACACUGAAUGGAUGACAGUAGGAAGAGUAAAAGAGACAACGAAAAAGGCUACAGUGAAGUAGAACAGAGCACUAGGAAAAACAUGCCAAAGGCCCCUUCUCCUACGGAGGGUACAGGAAGUAUACACCAGGGACAAGCAGAGUCAAGUUCAGCAAGAGAGAAAAUGUAACAAGCGAGCAAACAGGUCCAGCUUCUGUCCGUGUUGCGCUCUGGUGGAGGAUGCUCACGAACAUGGUGGGAGGUGCAGACGACCCACAGCACCGUGAGAGGGCGGCACACCGUCAAGAAUGACAGUUCCCUUAAUGGCUCAGCAGUUAAGGAACCCAGCUGGGAUCUGAGGAUGUGGGUUCCAUCUGACAGGGGUCCAAUCUGAGCUGUAACUGCUGGCCUACACCACAGCCACAGCAGUGCCAGAUCUGAGCCGCAUCUGUGACCUAUACCACAGCUCAUGGCAGUGCUGGAUCUUUAACCCACUGAGAGAAGCCAAGGAUCAAACCCACGUCCUCAUGGAUACUAGUUGGGUUCAUUACCACUGAGCCACAACGGGAACUCUUAGGUGUGGACCUUUGGGUGUUAAAAUAUCAGACUUGGCAUUCCCUGGUGGCCUAGCAUUUAAGGAUUCAGCACUGUCUCUGCUAUGGCUCAGGUUCAAUCCCUGGCCUGGGAACUUCCACAUGCUGUGAGCAUGGCCAAAAAUAAAAUAAAAUACCUGAUUUGAAAUCCUGGCUCUGCUAAUUACUCCUUAUAUAACCUUGGAAAAAUUAUUUAUCAUAACUAAGCUUCAACUUCAUCUACAAGCAGGACAUGAAAAUAUCCAAUUUAAAGUGCUUAGUGUUUGAUGAGUGGACACUAGCUAAAAUUGAAGAAUAUGUCCCAAUAGAUGAAAGCUGCAAACGAACAAUAUCCAAUAUGAAGCUAGGAAAAUGUAUACAAACCAGGGGGAAUAUUAAGCAAAAAUUUUAAAGAUAGUUAUGCUAAACAAACAUAUAAUGAAAACUUUUCUGCAUUUACAAUGAUAAUAGCUAAGUUAAACAUAUAUUCCAGAGUUCUCUGGUGGUCUAGUGGUUAGGAUUUAGUGCUUUCACUGAGGCCUAGGUUCAAUCCCUGGUUUGGGAACUGAGAUCCCACAUCAAGUCGCUGCAUCCAGCAGCCAACCCCCAUCACCCCCCAAAAAAAACCUCCACCCAUGUAUGUAUGUAUUGUAUGUAUGUAUGUAAACAAAAACUGCAAAAGAAUGUGAGAAGUCAAAUACCACCCGAUAUCACUUAUUUGUGGAAUCUAAAAUAUGGAACAGAUGAUCCCAUCUUAACAAAAACAAAACAGAAACAGCUCAUGGCCAAGAAGAGCAGACUUGGGGUUCCCAGGAGGAAAAGGAGAGGGAGUGGGAGGGAAGGGCAUUUUGGUGGUUUUGGGGGAUGCGAACUGUUAUACCUGGGAUGGAUGGGCAAUGGGGCCCAACUGUACAGCAUAAAGAAAUGUGUGUAAUUCGGUCACUUUGCUGUACAACAGAACUUGAAGAAAAAUUGUAAAUCAACUAUACUUUAAUAAUUUUUUUAAAAGAAAAGGAAAAAAAUGUAUAAGUAGACCUACACAGUUUAAACUCAUGUUAAGAGUUCACUGUACUUCCUAACUCAUUUUACAAAGCCACGAUUACCCUAGUAUCAAAACUAGACAAAGACAGUACAAGAAAAUAAAACCACAGACGAAUAUCUAUCAUGAACAUAGAUGUGAAAAUCUUCAACAAAAUACUAGCAAAUCAAACCUAAUAAUUUAUAACAAGGAUUAUACACCACGACCAAGUGAGAGCAUGCAAGUCAGGCAUGCAAGGCUGGUUCAACAUUUGAAAAUCAAUUCAUGUAAUCUGUAAUUCUGAAACUGACAACACUUAUGACUUGAAUCUAGUGCCAGGACUUGAAACUGGCCUAAACUCAGAUGGGGACUUGAACCCACAGUUUUUAAAUUAUUCUAAUUUAAGUCCAUCUUGCAUCUGGACUUACCGAGGUUCAGGUUUUUUGUGCCUCGGCACAGAAGGAAUUCAGCAAGAGACAGUGAUAGGCAAGAAAAAGAUUUAUUAAGAUAGGACAUUUGUAAGAGAUGCAAGCCGGCAGGCAAGGAGGCUCUGUACUGAGAAUUAGGUAGGCUACACUUUUAUCAUCCAAGGGGAGUGGGGGCAGGAAAAGACCACUUCUUCCUCUAUCUUCAAAAAUCCUCCUUGAAAUCCAGUAAGAGAGUAUAUUGCACCCUUCAAGGUCAAACUAGGACCUUCACGGUGCUUAAUCAAAUCAGCAGAAGGUGGUCCUUAAACUCCUCCCCUUGGUCUGAACCUGAAUGCAGGCCUCACCCCAGCCCCCACCCAAUGACCUGAGGCAUAUCUUGUGCCUCCACUAGUUAAGCAAGCCUGCCUCCUUCUGAUGGCUUUUUAGAUAGUAU
rnacentral:lncRNA from 1 species